GGAUAUCCACACUCUUUCUGUAAAUUGCGGGCGAAAUAUAAUUUUGUUAAAGAAAAAUGGCAAAACUAAUGUAAUGUUAUAUUUUUUAGAAGGUAGAGAAGGCAGCACCUCAAUCUACAUGUACGAAGAGUGGUAGCAAGAAGGUGACUAAACUCAAGGAGGAAAGCUCUAGCAGGAUUUCAGAAGUGGGAGAAAUUGAGAUUUCAGAGAUGGCCGCUCUUCCCACUAAGGCUGUUCCUACUAAGCGCGUGAAAGAGCAAGCAGUUAAAGACAAGAAAUUUAAGAAGCCAAAGAAAAGGCCAAAGAAGUUACAUGUAGUACAGUCUUCAAAGAAGGCUAGCAAGAAACAAGCAACCGAAGCGGAAGAGGAUACCUCAAGAAGU